rnacentral:rRNA from 1 species
AAACUUUCCUUCGGGAAAGAUAUAAAGUGGCGCACGGGUGAGUAACACGUAAGUAAUCUACCUUCGAGUGGGGAAUAACGUCCGGAAACGGACGCUAAUACCGCAUAAUGCAGCGGCAUCUAAUGAUGACAGUUGUUAAAGAUUUAUCGCUUGAAGAGGAGCUUGCGGCAGAUUAGCUAGUUGGUAAGGUAAUGGCUUACCAAGGCUACGAUCUGUAACCGGUCUAAGAGGACGGUCGGUCACACUGACACUGAAUAACGGGUCAGACUCCUACGGGAGGCAGCAGUCGGGAAUUUUGGGCAAUGGGCGAAAGCCUGACCCAGCAACGCCGCGUGAAGGAUGAAGUAUUUCGGUAUGUAAACUUCGAAAGAAUGGGAAGAAUCAAUGACGGUACCAUUUAUAAGGUCCGGCUAACUACGUGCCAGCAGCCGCGGUAAUACGUAGGGACCAAGCGUUGUUCGGAUUUACUGGGCGUAAAGGGCGCGUAGGCGGCAAUUCAAGUCAUCUGUGAAAUCUCCGGGCUUAACUCGGAACGGUCAGAUGAUACUGCUUUGCUAGAGUGCGGAAGGGGCAAUCGGAAUUCUCGGUGUAGCGGUGAAAUGCGUAGAUAUCGAGAGGAACACCAGAGGUGAAGACGGGUUGCUGGGCCGACACUGACGCUGACAGCGCGAAAGCCAGGGGAGCAAACGGGAUUAGAUACCCCGGUAGUCCUGGCCCUAAACGAUGAAUACUUGGUGUCUGGAGUUAUUAGUGCUCCGGGUGCCGUCGCUAACGUUUUAAGUAUUCCGCCUGGGGAGUACGCUCGCAAGAGUGAAACUC